rnacentral:rRNA from 1 species
UGGCGGCGUGCUUAACACAUGCGAAGUCGAACGAGGCUGUACUGCAGAAGUUUUCGGAUGGAAGCGGUACUGACCGAGUGGCGGACGGGUGAGUAACGCGUGGGGAACCUGCCCCGAUUCCGGGGGAUACCAGUUGGAAACGACUGUUAAUACCGCAUAAGCGCACAGUGAGACAUCUCACAGUGUGAAAAACUGAGGUGGAAUGGGAUGGCCCCGCGUCUGAUUAGCCAGUUGGCAGGGUAACGGCCUACCAAAGCGACGAUCAGUAGCCGGCCUGAGAGGGCGACCGGCCACAUUGGGACUGAGACACGGCCCAAACUCCUACGGGAGGCAGCAGUGGGGAAUAUUGCACAAUGGGGGAAACCCUGAUGCAGCGACGCCGCGUGAGUGAAGAAGUAUUUCGGUAUGUAAAACUCUAUCAGCAGGGAAGAAGAUGACGGUACCUACACAAGAAGCCCCGGCUAACUACGUGCC